rnacentral:rRNA from 2 species
AAUACUAAGCCAUGCGAGUCAUUGUAGCAAUACAAGGCAGACGGCUCAGUAACGCGUAGUCAACCUACCCUAUGGACGGGAAUAACCUCGGGAAACUGAGGAUAAUGCCCGAUAGAACAUUAUGCCUGGAAUGGUUUAUGUUCCAAAUGAUUUAUCGCCGUAGGAUGGGACUGCGGCCUAUCAGUUUGUUGGUGAGGUAAUGGCCCACCAAGACUAUUACAGGUACGGGCUCUGAGAGGAGUGGCCCGGAGAUGGGUACUGAGACACGGACCCAGGCCCUAUGGGGCGCAGCAGGCGAGAAAACUUUGCAAUGUGCGAAAGCACGACAAGGUUAAUCCGAGUGGUUUCUGCUAAAGGAACCUUUUGUUAGUCCUAGAAACACUAACGAAUAAGGGGUGGGCAAGUUCUGGUGUCAGCCGCCGCGGUAAAACCAGCACCUCAAGUGGUCAGGAUGAUUAUUGGGCCUAAAGCAUCCGUAGCCGGUUCUGUAAGUUUUCGGUUAAAUCUGUACGCUCAACGUACGGGCUGCCGGAAAUACUGCAGAGCUAGGGAGUGGGAGAGGUAGACGGUACUCGGGAGGAAGGGGUAAAAUCCUUUGAUCUCUCGAUGACCACCUGUGGCGAAGGCGGUCUACCAGAACACGUCCGACGGUGAGGGAUGAAAGCUGGGGGAGCAAACCGGAUUAGAUACCCGGGUAGUCCCAGCUGUAAACUAUGCAAACUCAGUGAUGCAUUGGCUUGUGGCCAAUGCAGUGCUGCAGGGAAGCCGUUAAGUUUGCCGCCUGGGAAGUAC